rnacentral:rRNA from 1 species
UGAAUUGGACGGGGACCCGCACAAGCGGUGGAUGAUGUGGUUUAAUUCGAUGCAACGCGAAAACCUUACCCACCUUUGACAUGUACGGAAGUUGCCAGAGACGGCUUCGUGCUCGAAAGAGAGCCGUAACACAGGUGCUGCAUGGCUGUCGUCAGCUCGUGUCGUGAGAUGUUGGGUUAAGUCCCGCAACGAGCGCAACCCUUGUCAUUAGUUGCUACGAAAGGGCACUCUAAUGAGACUGCCGGUGACAAACCGGAGGAAGGUGGGGAUGACGUCAAGUCCUCAUGGCCCUUAUAGGUGGGGCUACACACGUCAUACAAUGGCUGGUACAAAGGGUUGCCAACCCGCGAGGGGGAGCCAAUCCCAUAAAGCCAGUCGUAGUCCGGAUCGCAGUCUGCAACUCGACUGCGUGAAGUCGGAAUCGCUAGUAAUCGUGGAUCAGCAUGUCACGGUGAAUACGUUCCCGGGUCUU